UCGACCCAAAGUUAGCUUCAGCGUCUCAGCAGCAUGACUUGACGCACGUGUGCGAGGAUCGACACACGUGACGUUGAAUGUAACAGCAGGUGACUGUAGCAUCAUGAUGCUGUUGCUCUGGCACUCGCAAGUGACUAAGCACUGACUGCUACACCACAAUCCGCCAGACCUAUAAUGACAACGUGGGAACAGCUCGCAAAGCAGACGACAGUCGUCGACGACAAUAGCGAUGUCAUAGUGCCACGAGAUGAGGUUCACGCGUUCUGCAUGAGAUGCCUGCAGAAGGUGGGCGCCGUCACAGAGCACGCCGAGGCAAUGGCCGAGCUCAUCGUGGCGGCUGACUACCGGGGCCAUUACAGCCAUGGACUCAACAGGCUGGGUUUUUAUAUUGAAGACCUCCGCAGUGGACAAGUCAUCUCUAAACCUGAAGUGCACCCAACGAUUGUGAAGGAAACAGUGGCUACUGCUUUGGUAGACGGCAACAACCUCAUGGGUCCCGUGGUGGGCACCUUCGCCAUGGAUCUCGCCAUACGCAAGGCCAAGCAUGCCGGCAUUGGGUGGGUCAGUGUCAAAGGAUCGAACCACUUCGGUAUCGCUGGUUGGUACAGCAUGAGGGCCGUGGAACAAGAGCUCAUAGGAAUGGCUUUCACAAAUACAUCGCCAUGCCUGGUUCCAACACGCGCCAGACAGAAAGCACUUGGGACAAAUCCAAUCUCGGUUGCGGCCCCUGCUAAGGAUGGCGACAGCUUCGUCUUGGACAUGGCGACGACUGUGGCGGCGAUAGGAAAGGUGGAAAUGAAGCACACACUUCAGCAACCACUUCCGGCUGGCUGGUCAUUGGACAGUGACGGCAGACCAACAGAGGACAUAGACAAAGCUAUGGCUAGCUUGGCAUUAUACCCGUUAGGGGGCACUGAAGAAACAAGUGGCUACAAAGGUUAUGGGCUGGCCAUGAUGGUGGAGGUUUUCUGCACCAUCCUCAGUGGCGCCACCGUCAGCCCCUUCACUCAAGGCUGGUCUGACAAGAUGCGUUCUAGGGAGGCAAACCGCGGACAUUGUUUCGUGGCCCUGGACCCACAAGUGUUUGCUCCAGGGUUCACUGACCGCUUGAGCGAGCUGUUGAACCACUGCCGCAACCUCCCGCCGGUAAUUUCACUUUGACAUGGGCAAGGCAGAGGGAGAGAGCCAGGUGUUAGUCCCAGGUGACCCCGAGCGACAACACAUGAAACACUGCGACGCCAUUGGCGGAAUCCCCUACAAACAAAACCAGAUUAAACUUGUGAAUAACCUGGCCGAGAAGA
rnacentral:misc_RNA from 1 species